rnacentral:rRNA from 1 species
GAUGAACGCUGGCGGCGUGCCUAAUACAUGCAAGUCGAGCGAACGGACGAGAAGCUUGCUUCUCUGCUGUUAGCGGCGGACGGGUGAGUAACACGUGGAUAACCUACUUAUAAUACUGGGAUAACUUCGGGAAACCGGAGCUACUACCGGAUAAUAUUUUGAACCGCAUGGUUCAUAAGUGAAUGACGGUCUUGCUGUCACUUAUAGAUGUUUUCGCGCUGCAUUAGCUAGUUGGUAAGGUAACGGCUUACCAAGGCAACGAUGCAUAGCCGACCGGAGAGGGUGGUCGGCCACACGGGAACUGAGACACGGUCCAGGCUCCUACGGGAGGCAGCAGUAGGGAAUCUUCCGCAAUGGGCGAAAGCCUGACAGAGCAACGCCGAGUGAGUGAUGAAGGUCUUCGGUUCGUAAAACUCUGUUAUUAGGGAAGAACAGAUGUGGAAGUAACUGUGCACAUCUUGACGGUACCUAAUCAGAAAGCCACGGCUAACUACGUG